rnacentral:rRNA from 1 species
CAGUAGCCGCGGUAAUACGUAGGUGGCGAGCGUUGUCCGGAAUUAUUGGGCGUAAAGGGAGCGCAGGCGGGCGAGUAAGUCUUUCUUAAAAGUGCGGGGCUCAACCCCGUGAGGGGAGAGAAACUACUCAUCUUGAGUGCAGGAGAGGAAAGCGGAAUUCCUAGUGUAGCGGCGAAAUGCGUAGAUAUUAGGAAGAACACCAGUGGCGAAGGCGGCUUUCUGGACUGUAACUGACGCUGAGGCUCGAAAGCCAGGGGAGCGAACGGGAUUAGAUACCCGCGUGGUCCCUGUCUCUUAUAUA